UUAGCAGCAUAGCAGGAUGAAACCAAGUAAAUUUCGUCGGCGCAUCCUGCCGGUAACGCAUGACCCAUCUGAUUUAAGAAAUCAAUAUUGGCUACCACUGUAGCUUGUAUGCGUUUCCCUAUAUCUGCCUCGAGCAUGUACUUGCGCAUCACAGCAUAAAAAAUUUCAUACGCAGCGUCGAAUGUUUACUGCUGGUUUUGGGAAUACCGGCUUGAUGUGUUUGUUGGUUAGGAUGAUGGUGUCUAUGGGGUCCUUCGCCAUCUUCUCACCCAUCACCUCUUUGCAGAAGUCGCGCUCCUCCUUCGUCUUGUCGUGCAGGCAGUGACUGCAAUUUAGCUGCUCACAGAUAUAGUGACCUAAUCCGGAGCCCGUGUACAGUCUGAGAAAUCUUAUUUCGUGGUAUUAAGUUUAAGGUUUUGGAGAUCUUAAAUACGUCUCCAUCGAGCCCGAACGGUGCGUAGUCUUCUUCGAGCUCUUCUUCAAUUUCAUAAUCCAGGAGAUUUGUUAACCGGCAGUCAUUGUCUGUUUUAAAUUCGGUUUUAUAUUUGAACACCUGCAGAUUUCUCAGGCGAUUUUGGGGGACGAUCUGAUCUUCUUUCGAAUCACUUUGGCAAUAUUUAUGAAGAAUGCCUCAAGGAGGUCUUGUCAUACCCUGAAUGAAGUGAAAGUUGUAUCAGGGUAAGCCUUAGUCAAGUCUACCAUUAAUUUUGAAAAAUUCGUUGCGUUCUCUUCUAAGGCAAUGGUAGUGGCGUCCUUUUUGUAAAUCUGCAGUAAGUCGUUGGUGACUUCUCUUAAAUGCUCGGCUACCUCGACUACGUUUUGUGCCGUUAUACAACUUCGGUGAAAUAUGUUCACGAAGCUGGUUAUUGCCUUGAAUAAUUUGCAGGUCCUCUUUGCCAUUUCAGUGUCGCUUUUGAAAACAGCUUCUUUGAUUCCCGCUUCCAGGAUGCCUGUCGUGGAGUUGAUGAAAAAUUGCACCAACUCUGGAAGAUACCAGGGAACUGCACCGUUUACAGUGGCGCCUCGAAGAAUCCAAAAUUUGAUGGUGGUCUCUUCGAGCUUGUAAAAUUUGGGCAAUUGUGAAACAAAAUAGACGAAUUAAGAAAACGACAGCAACAAUUGAAUCAAGAUGGUCGCCACACGUUCAAAAUAGUGCACAUACCAAAAGCCGAAUCGCGUUAUCCAUCGUAUCGUAACACUAGUUCACGUUUUUUGCCAUUUUUUUGCGACAUAAAACGUAACGCCUCUGAAUGCGUAGAAAAAGCCGAUUCAUCAGCCUCGAUUAGUGACUUUUUUUAAGAAUACAAUGAAAACAAAAUCCAAAUCCGACCUGACAUAUUUAUUCGCUCUGGCUCAAAAUCAAAUGUUAAAUUAUCGCAAAUCCCUUCAGUGCUCAUACGAAAGAACGAUAUACAGAAAACAUUCGAAAAUUCGUAAGCCACGUAGACACUCAGGGUAUAUACAAGCAAACUCCUUCUUGCAAUGGCGAAAAUCUCGCAAAUUUGCUGUUCGGACAAUCUUAUUAACAAAAACCAAGCAUUAUGCAGUCAUCAACGACGAUUCAUCACACAUACAGCAAACACACUUUUUUUACAGCACAAGCAGCAAGCUGCCCUCUUCCCUACAUUGCAACUGAAAGGAAUUUUGGGUCGUCCAGAAGCCCAAAUGCUGCUGAUCGAUUCAUCAAAAAGUAAGCUAGGUGUAAUUUCUGAAGAUGACUAGACAAUCCCGUUUGAGGUAUCGCGAUCAUGAAGCCAUUAUGUGGAACUUACGUAUACAUGUCAACAGCAACAGCAACAAAUUUUGCAAACCAUAGCUCUCAGCAACAACAGCAUACACAAUAUUCAAGGUACAUCUUAUAAUAUAUGGCAAUAGUUACGUGAUACGUAUUAUUUACGAUUAUUAAACGCGUUAGCAGUGUUUGACAACCCUAAAUUGUACGAGCAAGAGGAAGAAUUUUAAAAAGUGUGUUCAACUGUCAAGAAAAAAAUUUUUUUUUAAAUCUUUUCAAUUAUUGAAACAUGGAAUCAAGCAAAAACAAUAUAGGUGAAGAAAGUUACUUAGACGGCCCGAAUGAUUGUAAUAUCAAUAAAACAUUAUUAAUUCAAAAAGAUAUCGCUCUAAAAAAAAGUGUGGGUCGAUAUGAAGAUGAAAUAAUGUCCUUAGUGGAUUCCCGGCCUUAUACGCAAACGACAAUAACCAAUUUUGACAAUUCGCCAUGAAUUGUUGUCACAGUCUGCAGAGUUAUCGACAAGUGGAAAUGAAUUUCAUAUCACUGAUAAAGAGUUAAUCGAAUGUUGU